UGUACGCACAGGUGCAACAGCGUUGAUUCGGACCCCCGAGGCUGCCCACUCGAUGGCGAGACUCUUAGUUAAGUUAUCCACCGCUGCCCUCGCUGCUCCUGUGUGGCUGUCGGGGAGAGGAGACACACCGCGCAGCAGAUUUGUGUGUAAAUAAUGAGGGAAACUGUUCUUACGCCGCAUCUGGGAAGCCGUUCCACAUGUUAGCGAUGAUGCUGACGAUGGCUCCUCCGUGCUCCUUCAUCCAUGCUGUGUAGACUGGAGGGGAGAACAACGACGGUCACGCUGAGAGACCAAACCACAAACACCAAAGCCUGUGUUAUCUGUGCCCAGCUCACCCUCUUUGCAGCAGUGGAAGGUUCCUGUCAGGUUGGUGUCUACCACAGCCUUCCAGCCCUUAGAGGACAUGUCUUCUGCAGGGCUUCUGAACUGACCUCCUCCGUUGUUCACCAGAAAGUCUAUACGGUCAUAUCGCUUCAGCACUGAUGACACAAGAGCCUUCACCUUCAAAUGACAGAAAGACAAAAAGAAAAUCAGCCACUUACGCACUGAAA